GUAAAUGCCCACCAAGCCAGUAAUCUGUACGGGUUGUGAGAGCAAGAGCCCGGAGAUGGAACCUGAGACAAGGUUCCAGGCCCUACGGGGCGCACGAGGCGCGAAACCUCCGCAAUGCGAGCAAUCGCGACGGGGGAAACCCAAGUACCACUCUUAACGGGGUGGUUUUUCUGAAGUGUAAAAAGCUUCAGGAAUAAGAGCUGGGCAAGACCGGUGCCACCCCCCGCGGUAAAA
rnacentral:rRNA from 1 species